UUAGACCUCAAGUUUCCCUUUUCUCAUUCCCUCUGCUUAUUCCACACAGACGAUUUCCAGGCUAGGAGGGAACAUGCAGCACUGCUGCUGUCUGCUGCAUAAAAAACAUAGAGGAUGGGAAGAGGAGAUCCAAGACAAACAUCUUACCUAUGCAAGUGGUUCUACCACACUCUUAACCAUUAAUACAUAGCAGUGAAACAAGUCUGCAGUUUCACAAGCUCAUCUCACCAACUGAAGUAGUUCAGUUGUUAACUCCCUUGGCUGUUACUAAACUCUUCCAAGCACCAGUGAGAAAGAGACAAGAAAAGUCCUUGGGAAUAGAAAAUAUCUGGUCAUAAUCAUAAUGUCAGUGCCUAAUCUGUCACAUGAGGGUUCAAGACCAAGACUAAAUGUUUGAACUCACUCCUGGAAAAGGAGACCCAAGCUUCUAAAGAAACUACAAAAAUCUCUACUACAAAAUUAACUACAGAAUCAGUGGACCAUGUUAACAAACAGCAGCUAAAGAAUAAAUUCAAAGAAAAGCACGGA